rnacentral:tRNA from 1 species
AGCAGCGUGGCUCAGUGGCAAGAGCCUGCGCUUGGAAGUCACAGGUCGGGGGUUCUAAUCCCGCCUCUGCCC